GACAGAGGGUGCAAACGUUGUUCGGAAUUACUGGGCGUAAAGCGUGUGUAGGCGGUCUGCUAAGUCGGGUGUGAAAGCCCUGGCUCAACCCAGGAAGUGCACUCGAAACUGGCAGGCUAGAGUACUGGGGAGGUUGGUGGAAUUCUCGGUGUAGAGGUGAAAUUCGUAGAUAUCGAGAGGAACACCGGUGGCGAAGGCGGCCAACUGGACAGAUACUGACGCUGAGACACGAAAGCGUGGGGAGCAAACAGG
rnacentral:rRNA from 1 species